AUUAGAUAAAAAACCAAUGCCCUUCGGGGCUUUUCUGGUGAUUCAUAAUAACUAAACGAAUCGCAUGGCCUUGAGCCGGCGAUGGUUCAUUCAAAUUUCUGCCCUAUCAACUUUCGAUUGUAGGAUAGAGGCCUACAAUGGUUUCAACGGGUAACGGAGAAUUAGGGUUCGGUUCCGGAGAGGGAGCCUGAGAAACGGCUACCACAUCCAAGGAAGGCAGCAGGCGCGCAAAUUACCCAAUCCCGACACGGGGAGGUAGUGACAAUAAAUACUGAUACAGGGCUCUUUUGGGUCUUGUAAUUGGAAUGAGUACAAUUUAAAUCCCUUAACGAGGAACAAUUGGAGGGCAAGUCUGGUGCCAGCAGCCGCGGUAAUUCCAGCUCCAAUAGCGUAUAUUAAAGUUGUUGCAGUUAAAAAGCUCGUAGUUGAACCUUGGGUCUGGCUGGUCGGUCCGCCUCACCGCGUGUACUGAUCCGGCCGGACCUUUCCUCUUGGGGAUCCACAUGCCCUUUACUGGG
rnacentral:rRNA from 1 species